UGAAAGACUUGUAAAAAAAAUGUUUUAAAAAUACUUUUAAUUAAUAUUUGAAUUUUUUAUUCCUUAUUAGUAUAUAUGUGAGGGGUAGAGGGUGUCACAUUAUACGCUUGACAUAACAUGGAUGUGGAAAGGUGUGGAACAGGGGUUCAAGAAUCCAGAGUUAAAGCUCAAAAGCAUUGAUUUUUCCAGUAACCAUUUAACCGGUGAAAUACCAAAGGAGGUCGGAUAUUUGCUUGGGUUAGUUUCUUUGAAUCUAUCAAGAAACAAUUUGAGUGGAGAAAUUCCUUCUCGGAUUGGGAAUUUAAGGUCACUAGAAUCACUUGACUUGUCAAGAAAUCACAUCUUUGGGAGAAUUCCUUCUUCUCUUUCUGAAAUUGAUUAUUUGCAAAAAUUAGACUUGUCACACAACUCUCUUUCUAGAAGAAUCCCAUCAGGAAGACAUUUUGAAACCUUUGAAGCCUCUAGUUUUGAAGGAAACAUUGAUCUUUGUGGUGAACAACUUAACAAAACUUGUCCUGGGGAUGGAGAUCAGACAACAGCAGAGCAUCAAGAACCACCAGUCAAAGGUGAUGAUUCAGUUUUCUAUGAGGGAUUAUACAUGAGCUUGGGGAUUGGAUACUUCACUGGAUUUUGGGGCUUAUUAGGGCCAUUACUACUGUGGCAUCCUUGGAGAAUUGCUUACAUCAGGUUUCUGAACAGAUUAACAGACUUUGUAUAUGUAUGUUUAUUGUGAAUGUGGGAAUUGUUGCUGAUCGCUCCAAGGCAAAAAGAUGUGCUGCAGGCUUCUGAUCAGAGAAGAAACCAUUGUUGGCAGCUACAAAUGCGAGAUAAUUUCUUUAAUAUAGGAGUUUACAAUGUUUUGUAUUUAAGUAAUGAACUGCAAAAUCUUGUUUCCAGAAACUUAGUAUGCUAUUGUUGUAUUUAUUGUAUAAUAUAUUUGUAAUGCUGUUUGUUUUUCAUUAUUGUGCUUAGAUCUGUGAUAUCUAAAAUUUCACCACUUCCUAUUC